rnacentral:rRNA from 1 species
AACGAACGCUGGCGGCAUGCCUAACACAUGCAAGUCGAACGAAGCCUUCGGGCUUAGCGGCGCACGGGUGCGUAACGCGUGGGAAUCUGCCCUUUGGUUCGGAAUAACAGUUGGAAACGACUGCUAAUACCGGAUGAUGACGAAAGUCCAAAGAUUUAUCGCCAGAGGAUGAGCCCGCGUAGGAUUAGCUAGUUGGUGUGGUAAAGGCGCACCAAGGCGACGAUCCUUAGCUGGUCUGAGAGGAUGAUCAGCCACACUGGGACUGAGACACGGCCCAGACUCCUACGGGAGGCAGCAGUGGGGAAUAUUGGAAAAUGGGCGAAAGCCUGAUCCAGCAAUGCCGCGUGAGUGAUGAAGGCCCUAGGGUUGUAAAGCUCUUUUACCCGGGAUGAUAAUGACAGUACCGGGAGAAUAAGCCCCGGCUAACUCCGUGCCAGCCGCCGCAGUAA